AUUGAACGCUGGCGGCAUGCUUUACACAUGCAAGUCGAACGGCAGCGCGGGCUUCGGCCUGGCGGCGAGUGGCGAACGGGUGAGUAAUGCAUCGGAACGUGCCCAGUAGUGGUGGAUAGCCCGGCGAAAGCCGGAUUAAUACCGCAUACGACCUGAGGGUGAAAGCGGGGGACCGAAAGGCCUCGCGCUAUUGGAGCGGCCGAUGUCGGAUUAGCUAGUUGGUGGGGUAAAGGCUUACCAAGGCCACGAUCCGUAGCUGGUCUGAGAGGACGACCAGCCACACUGGGACUGAGACACGGCCCAGACUCCUACGGGAGGCAGCAGUGGGGAAUUUUGGACAAUGGGGGCAACCCUGAUCCAGCCAUGCCGCGUGCGGGAAGAAGGCCUUCGGGUUGUAAACCGCUUUUGUUCGGGAAGAAAUCCUCUGGGCUAAUACCCCGGGGGGAUGACGGUACCGGAAGAAUAAGCACCGGCUAACUACGUG
rnacentral:rRNA from 1 species